CGGGGGAUGCCUAGGCUCUCAGAGGCGAAGAAGGACGUGAUAAGCUGCGAUAAGAUCAGGGAAGGGGCACAUACCCGGUGAUCCUGAUAUUUCCGAAUGGGGCAACCCCCUUGGUUGAAGACCAAGGAUCUUUAUCUUUAGGAUGAAGAGGCAAACGCGGGGAACUGAAACAUCUAAGUACCCGCAGGAACAGAAAAUAAGAAUGAUUCCCCAAGUAGUGGCGAGCGAACGGGGACGAGCCCAAACCGGGUUGGUUACGGCCAGCGCGGGGUUGUAGGACUGCAACAUCUGAUUGAGUACUCUUAGCUGAAUGACGUGGGAAAGUCAACCAGAGACGGUGAGAGUCCGGUAAGCGAGCAGAGUAGUCACAGUAGCAGACUCCUGAGUAAGGCGGGACCAGCGAAAUCCCGUCUGAAUCCGGCGGUACCAUCCGCCAAGGCUACAUACUCCUGAGAGACCGAUAGUGAACUAGUACCGUGAGGGAAAGGUGAAAAGAACCGGGAAUACCGGAGUGAAAAGAACCUGAAACCGUGUGCUUACAAGCGGUCAGAGGCCUUACGUGGGCUGAUGGCGUGCCUUUUGCAUAAUGAGCCUACGAGUUACUCUUCUCGGGCAAGGUUAACUGACUUAAGUCAGGGAGCCGCAGCGAAAGCGAGUCUGAAUAGGGCGCAGAGUCCGAGGAGGUAGACGCGAAACUUUGUGAUCUACCCAUGAGCAGGCUGAAGGUUGGGUAACACCACCUGGAGGGCCGAACCAGUUUCCGUUGAAAAGGAUUUGGAUGACUUGUGGGUAGGGGUGAAAGGCCAAUCAAACUGAGAAAUAGCUCGUACUCCCCGAAAUGUAUUUAGGUACAGCGUCGGCGUGGAGUUACUGGGAGGUAGAGCUACCAAUAGGACUAGGGGGUGUCAGAGCCUACCGAAUCCUGAUGAACUCCGAAUGCCCAGUAAUAUAGCCGGCAGUGAGGCUUGGGGUGCUAAGGUCCCAGGCCGAGAGGGAAAGAACCCAGACCAUCCGCUAAGGUCCCUAAAUUCGGACUAAGUUGAACAAAGGAGGUCCACUUGCUUUGACAGCCAGGAGGUUGGCUUGGAAGCAGCCAUUCCUUUAAAGAGUGCGUAACAGCUCACUGGUCGAGCGAGAGGGCAUCGAUAAUACGCGGGCAUCAAGUCCGGUACCGAAGCGAUGGAUUUACACUUUUAGUGUAAGUGGUAGGGGAGCAUUCUCGUCCGCGGCGAAGGUGUGCUGUCAGGCAUGCUGGAGCGACGAGAAAAGCAAAUGUAGGCAUGAGUAACGAUAAGGCG
rnacentral:rRNA from 1 species